AUGGCUGCCUCUUCGUCCACCUUCCGCACUAACCGCAAUCUGGUAUUCUUCCUUGCCUCCCUCGUCUGGGGAUGAACUCUACACGGCAACUACUAACGCGUCCGUUUGGCAGCGUUUUUUAGAAUAGACAGGCGCUCCCGCAAUUACAAUCUGGUUAAAUUUCCUAUCUCGCACUUUGGUAGGUUUCCGAUGGCUGAAGGGGUUUCCUUUUUUCCCUUCAUUUUUCGCAACUAAGUUUGUGCAGAAUCGUGGUUGACAAAAGGUUGUCUACGACGCCGGCCAGACGUCAUGGAGGUGGUGUUGUGGCUGCAUCUGCGGCACUGGUAGGGAUUCGGCACUGAGGUAGAGCUGGUCAGCUGCAUUUAUGGAUGUGUUCAACUGUUCAUGCUUAGGACCUGCAUUCUGCGGUACAGUAUCCAGGAGUUAGGAUGUAGUCCUGUUGUGUAUUAUUACCUAAUUGGUGGUCACUGUUGAUAGAUUUUGGGGAUCAGUCCACUUGAUGAAUUCGACCAGGUGAAGAUGGCCUGCAAGAGGAGGCGGAACGGAAUGAUGCGGGACUAGCUGCGAUUGGGAGUACUUGAUGAAGUUCUUUGGGUUUCAGUUGGAUAGGGCUCACGAUAUGGUAAUGGCAGAUCAGCUGCUGAAACAGAAGAAAUGGGUGACACAUGGGUCAAUCCAGGAUAAUUCUGUGGACUUGCCUUUUUCUAUACUAUAUGCUACUCAUCUACUUAUUGUUCAUUUUGUUGAGUAAAUUCUACUAGUACAAUAAUCUACAUCAUGUGCUCAGUUGGGGUGCAUACAAGGGAGCAACUAAUUUGUGUCCAACUGAGAGGACGGACAAAUUGGUCUCUUUGAUGUCUAAUAGCCAAGACUAUUGGAAUGUGAUCAAUUAUGGCGUGAAAGAGAUUAAAAUUUAUGGAUAGUAGCAUUGCAAGGAUUUGAGUCUUUUAGGUGGCAGAUCAGGGACACAGGCUUUAGCCAAUGGCAUAUAGAAAAAUUUCACGUUGUAUUUUCAUGUAACAAAUCUUUGUGCCUGUAGAUUGGGCAGGCUGCAUAGUCUGAAAUGAAACAUAGCAACACAACCAAGAAACUAGAAGGCCAUGCCCAACCAUGUGCUGCUGCUGGCCUUAUGAUUAAUUUUUAGGAUGAUGACUUUCUGUGAAGAAUUAUGUAUUAUACUGUGUUACUUGACUGGGCUGUUUCCUGGACAUGUUCGCUGCUUGGUAAGAUUGAGAGUUCUGGAACUAAAUAAAAGCCUCUUGGCUACCUCAUCUACUAUUUUUAAUUUUUGUUAUCUUUACUGAUUAUUGAGGUGUCAAAGGAGAUCAAACAUGCUAAUUACCAACCAAUAGUUCCUUGGGGACCUAUUUUUUUUCUUUGAAUUCAAUGCGAACCUGUCUUUGUUACGUUUGUCCACAUAAUUAUUGUACAGUUUCAUUUGCAGUGAUGCCCAACAUACAAGUCAUGUAAGUCUGGGACUUUCUGCUUGCAUUAUGGCAGCUUUCUUAGCAAUUAUCUAGUAAACAUCAGUUCCUACAAACAAAUCUUAUUUUUAAUUAGGUGCAAUAUAACAGCUGGUUAUUCACAAUGCUGUACAUUGAAGGCUUUCUAGACAUGAUACUGCCAAUAUCAUAUAUUUCCCUCUUUUUUUACCGUAAAAGUAAAAGUAGGACCCCUGCUGAUAUAAAAAGGAAAUAUAGUGUAGGAGAAAAUAGGUUCACUGCAAAAGAUUGAUAAUUUGGUUGAUGCUCUAUUGCUCUUGAGUGGUGCUGUUUAUAAUCUCAUUUGUCUUUGUAUAAACUCAAGAUCCACCAUGAUUGAUCUGCAUAAAUAUGGCAAUAUCAGCAGCAUUUGUAAGAAGUUAUUCCAAAAUCUUGAAUUCCCAAAUGCUCUGCAGCUGCUAGUAUUUGUGUCUUUCUAGUCAAACAGCUUCUGAACCUAUCAAAAGAGUGGCUUCAACUCUGCACCACAUUGCUGGCUGCACAAAAGUCUUGACUUGGAAGGAACGAGAAUGGAAAAUGAUUCAAACUUUGGUACUAAUUGGAACAGCUUAGCAUUUUAGCUGAAAAUACUGUUGGUAUUGCCUAUUUCUACCGAAUGCUUGUGAAGCUGAAGGCUACAGAGCUAGCCAUAUCACUCCUGUAUAUAAUGUGAGUCUACUUCUGAACACGAGGCAUAUCGUAAAUUUAUAUCUUUUCCAUAGGGGCAUGAGGCAGUUUCCUAUGUUGAUAUGUUUCAUGCCUUUUUUACUUUCUAAAUUCUAUAUGUAAUGUUGGCAUGAACUGAAGUGUUCUGUUGUUGGUGCAGAUUUUAUUUUUUAACUCAUGGUAGUUCUGAUAUAUAUAUAACGCAAACAAAAGUACAGUAAGGUGACAGGGUGGCUAGGUGGGACCAUGGGAUGAUUUUUUUCUUUGCUUUUGAUGAUAGGUCUGGGAAAUUUAUUUCUUGUGUGCAUAAAACCCUAAACCCUAAACCCUAAUUCAACAAAGGAAGAGGGCAUUAGCUGGGAGGAGAUAAUCUAUAAAGCUGUAAUUGUUUUCCUUGAGAGGGCGCGCCCUCUUCACCUGUAUAUAAACUUCUAUUUCCUCUCUUAAUUGAAAGGCAGAGCUCCUGCCAUUUCGUUCAAAAAAAAAAAAGAAGUCUCUCUGGUUAGUAGGUCAGUAGUUUCCUAACCUUGCAGUCCAGCUUGAUGGAUGCAUAACUGAUAUAGAUAGAUAGAAGGAAUAAUGCCAGCCAGUCUAUGUUUCGAAAUAGUAGAUUGUUAUGCACUAAUGCAUCAUGUUCAAAUAUAUGAUGCCUUAGACUCUUAAUAAGGGGAUGCUGUUCAUAGAUUGGUUCUGAACUUUUUUAUCACCCCAUACCUAUUAUUUGCACAGUGAUGAAAUUUAGGAGUACCUACUUAUGGUAAUUCCUGGCAGUGAGGUCUGGGUAUACAUAUGGCAAAACGAGUGCUACAUUGUAGCUCCAUUAACUGCAUCUGAGUUUCCUGUUGUACUUGCAUUUUUUUUCUCAAUGUCUGGGAAAUAUUAUUCCAUAUGUUGUUUAUCAUUUUCAGGUAACAUGACUGAUAUUUUCUGUUGCAUAUUGGAUGGUUUUAUGAUGUAGGAUAAUAUCAUACACAACAAACAUUGUCUGUUUGCUUCUCUUUGACAAUUCCAUUUUGGACCAUUUGUUGGUAGUUUAGCAUGAACUAGAAACCGUCAACUUUUCAUCCUUUUAACUACUACAGAAAGGCCCUAGAAUAAGUGGAUGCUGCUUUUCCGGUGGAAAACAAGUCAUGGAUCAGUGCAAAAUGUAUCCUGGUGCUGCUUUCAGUUGUCAAAUGCUGUUUUCAGCAAUAGUGAAACUAAUUCGCAGUAUCUCAUUCCAGGAGUUGAUUGCGACUACAGCUCCAUCCGUUCUGCUUUGCAUCUCAGCUUCGUACUACCGAUAGCAACUGGUGCCGGACUUGAAAAGACAUUGCUCGAUAAAUGACACCCGCCCAUCUACCUCAAAUCAGAAAAACUUUGCUCGAACAGAUCAGAUGUUGCUAUCCAAUGAUUUGGGGGAAGUGAAAUCAUGCUACGAGAGAGUCGAUCUGCUCCUAACAGUAACAAGGUGCCUUUAACACUGUUACUAUGAGGUAACAACUUCGGUGACAUCAGACAAAGUUUUGCCUAUGUUUGUCAUCAAGAUCCUUCGCGGCCUCCUGCUAGAAAAAAUGGGUUCACGGGUUACGAGUGUGUUAUUUAAUGUAAUAACUGAACAGUUGCUUUUGUGUUCACGAGUUCUUAAUCGAUGAAAUACGAUGAGAAGGUCUUGUGCA